AUUGAACGCUGGCGGCAGGCCUAACACAUGCAAGUCGAACGAGUGGCGGACGGGUGAGUAAUGUCUUGGAAACUGCCUGAUGUAGGGGGAUAACGACUGGAAACGGUGGCUAAUAGCGCAUACGGUCCUUUGUGCCCAGAGGGGAUUAGCUGGUUGGUGGGGUAACGGCUCACAAAGGCGACGCUCCCUAGCUGGUCUGAGAGGAUGACCAGCCACACUGGAACGGAGACACGGUCCAGAAUCCUACGGGAGGCAGCAGUGGGGAAUAUUGGACAAUGGGCGAAAGCCUGAUGCAGCCAUGCCGCGUGUAUGAAGAAGGCCUUCGGGUUGUAAAGUACUGUCAGCGGGGAGGCGUUACCCGCAGAAGAAGCAACGGCUAACUACGUGCCAGCAGCCGCGGUAAUAC
rnacentral:rRNA from 1 species